UGAGAUCGGGUGAAGUUAAACGUACUUACAGGGUAAGGGUAAAAUCCUGUAAUCCCGGAAGGACGACCAGUGGCCGAAAGCGUUUAACUAGAACGAAUCUGACGGUAAGGAACGAAGGCUAGGGUAGCAAACCGGAUUAGAUACCCUGGCAGUCCUAGCUGUAAACAUUGCCCAUUUGAUGCUGCUUUCCCGUUGAGGGAAGGCAGUGUCGGAGCGAAGGUGUUAAAUGGGCCGCUUGGGAAGUAUGGUCGCAAGACUGAAACUUAAAGGAAUUGGCGGGGGAGCACCGCAACGGGAGGAAUGUGCGGUUUAAUUGGAUUCAACGCCGGAAAACUCACCGGGAACGACCUGUGCAUGAGAGUCAACUUGACGAGCUUACUCGAUAGCAGGAGAGGUGGUGCAUGGCCGUCGUCAGCUCGUACCGUAGGGCGUUCACUUAAGUGUGAUUACGAGCGUGACCCACAUCUUUUAUUGCAAAUGUAUAUGGGAAUAUGCAUGCACUUUAGA
rnacentral:rRNA from 1 species